UGGGGAAUAUUGCACAAUGGGCGCAAGCCUGAUGCAGCCAUGCCGCGUGUAUGAAAAAGGCCUUCGGGUUUUAAAGUACUUUCAGCGGGGGGGAAGGAAGUAAAGUUAAUACCUUUGCUCAUGGACGUUACCCGCAGAAGAAGCACCGGCUAACUCCUUGCCAGCAGCCGCGGUAAUACGGAGGGUGCAAGCGUUAAUCGGAAUUACUGGGCGUAAAGCGCACGCAGGCGGUUUGUUAAGUCAGAUGUGAAAUCCUCGGGCUCAACCUGGGAACUGCAUCUGAUACUGGCAAGCUUGAGUCUCGUAGAGGGGGGUAGAAUUCCAGGUGUAGCGGUGAAAUGCGUAGAGAUCUGGAGGAAUACCGGUGGCGAAGGCGGCCCCCUGGACGAAGACUGACGCUCAGGUGCGAAAGCGUGGGGAGCAAACAGG
rnacentral:rRNA from 1 species